GCCUUAGCGCGGUGGUCCCACCUGACCCCAUGCCGAACUCAGAAGUGAAACGCCGUAGCGCCGAUGGUAGUGUGGGGUCUCCCCAUGCGAGAGUAGGGAACUGCCAGAC
rnacentral:rRNA from 1 species